AAAGAGAACUUCUAUCCUGAGUGGCACAUGUAGGGCAACAUGAUUGCUCUACAUGCAAAAUCGACUUUAAGAGAUUUUGGAAGCGUAAUUUUUUGGUAUCUGGGCAACUGGUGAUUGUUGGUCCUGGCGUAUGU